rnacentral:tRNA from 1 species
GCAGAGAUGUCUGAGUGGUUUAAGGAGCACGAUUGGAAAUCGUGUGUAGGCCUGAAACCUACCGGAGGUUCAAAUCCUCUUCUCUGCG